rnacentral:rRNA from 1 species
UCGUCAGCUCGUGUCGUGAGAUGUUGGGUUAAGUCCCGCAACGAGCGCAACCCUUGCCUUUAGUUGCCAGCAUUAAGUUGGGCACUCUAGAGGGACUGCCAGGGAUAACCUGGAGGAAGGUGGGGAUGACGUCAAAUCAUCAUGCCCCUUAUGCUUAGGGCUACACACGUGCUACAAUGGGUGGUACAGAGGGCAGCCAAGUCGUGAGGCGGAGCUAAUCCCUUAAAGCCAUUCUCAGUUCGGAUUGUAGGCUGAAACUCGCCUACAUGAAGCUGGAGUUACUAGUAAUCGCAGAUCAGAAUGCUGCGGUGAAUGCGUUCCCGGGUCUUGUACACACCGCCCGUCACACCACGGAAGUUGGGGGCGCCCGAAGCCGGAUUGCUAACCUUUUGGAAGCGUCCGUCGAAGGUGAAAUCAAUAACUGGGGUGAAGUCGUAACAAGGUAGCCGUA